rnacentral:lncRNA from 1 species
AUUUCUUUGGAUAGAGGCUGGACUUCUCUCAAGCUGUCACUGGGCAUCAGAUGGGGUUUCCUGACUUUCCCAAGGAUGACUGUAUCUCAGUGUGUGCGUGGCUGGAGAAAUCACAACUUUACACGUGGUAUUUCAGCUUGCAGUUCCAAGCACCUCAAUUUCCUUGUGUUCACCAGUUUUCCCUGACUUCCUAGGUUUCAAGCCAUGCAGAUGUACUUCCUGCACCCAAAUUUCUAUCCAUCUUGAAGCACCUUCUGGAGCACUUUUCACAAAGCACAGCCUGUUGUGUUGCCUGAGGAUGUUCUCAACGUGAGCAUGCCCAGAAACAGCGCUGGGAAAAUGUGUGUUGGGACUGAAUAUUGCUCAGAUGCAAGCAAAGACUGACACUGUGAUAAUUGCCUUUGAGGGGGCAAUUCUUCAUCCCUUGGUUGGUGAAAGCAGAGUGCUUCCUUGGGCCAUUACUGUGGGCUGGCAUUGCGAGAGCUGCAUGCCCUGCAUAUUCACCAGUGUGGCACUCUCCACUGGACAUCGUGGCUGGUGACUUGGAAGAGUAGAGCAGUGGUUUUAAACCUGGUUUUAUUUUUGAGUUUCUUCUGAAGUGAGGGCCUGGUGGAACUUUCUUGCAGAUACCCUCAGUGUCUGUAACUCAAGUCCCAUGCCUUUGUGCUACGUUAUGUGACAGACUUGUUCAGUGCUUUGUAGGAGAAUUUGUUGGAGUUUACGUACCUUGGAUUACUCACAUUGAUCAUCCUCAUAGUUCUGCCUGGCCCUGAAAUGUAUUAAUUUUUUCCACACUGCCUGGACUGCAUUUCCCUGUGUAAGACUCAGGAUGUGGUAUUCCUUGGAGAAUUCUUUUGCACUGUAUAACUUUACAGUAUGCACAAUUUCUGCCCUCCAUCAGUUCACAUCAUCUGCUAUGAGCAAGUAGGGGUGGUUGUGGCUGUAAUCUGUGUAUCUCAGUUAAUAGUUGCAUCAAAUGUUCAAAUGUUCAUAUCCUUUCCAUAGUGACAAAUGAUUUUAUGGAAAAGACAUUUGGGCUAUGGUUAGGAAAAUACUUGUAUAAAAUUCCAUGUAUUCCGUCUUUGUGCACUUGUAUUUCUGUUUUCAACUGAAAUGACAAUCCUUAUCCCCUUGCUAGCAGAGUGAAGGUAAUGCAUCCAUAAUGAGCAAGCUGAGCUAUAUUAUGUAUUGCCAGAACUCGCCAUUUAAGCUCUGCCACUUGAAUUCCUGCAGAAAUUAUGUCCUUGAUUUACACCUUCCAUAUUUACUGUCCUGUUUUCCCAAUUGGGAGGACUCUCACCUUGCAAGCCCAGCAGAUUUCAUCUGGAGCUGGUGGGAAACAAACGUCCCAGAGUCAUUCACAGUAUGGCUUUUCCAAUACCGUUGCAUAAAAAAAGAGAAAAGAGGAUGCCAGCUCUGACAAUGACUCCACGUAUGCUUUGCACCACUUGUAGAUUUUCGAAUCAUUAAGAUAGGAAAAGACCUCUAAGAUCAUUUAGUUCAACUGCCACCACACCCCCACCAUGC